AAGUCUCGCGUAGCGCGUGGCCGCCAACGC
rnacentral:sRNA from 1 species